rnacentral:rRNA from 1 species
CAGUAGCCACGGGAAUACGUAGGGUGCAAGCGUUAAUCGGAAUUACUGGGCGUAAAGCGUGCGCAGGCGGUUAUAUAAGUCAGAUGUGAAAUCCCCGGGCUCAACCUGGGAACUGCAUUUGAGACUGUAUGGCUAGAGUGUGUCAGAGGGGGGUAGAAUUCCACGUGUAGCAGUGAAAUGCGUAGAUAUGUGGAGGAAUACCGAUGGCGAAGGCAGCCCCCUGGGAUAACACUGACGCUCAUGCACGAAAGCGUGGGGAGCAAACAGGAUUAGAUACCCCAGUAGUCCCUGUCUCUUAUAC